AGAGUUUGAUCCUGGCUCAGGAUGAACGCUAGCGAUAGGCUUAACACAUGCAAGUCGAGGGGCAGCAUGGUCUUAGCUUGCUAAGACUGAUGGCGACCGGCGCACGGGUGCGUAACGCGUAUGCAACUUGCCUCACAGAGGGGGAUAACCCGUCGAAAGACGGACUAAUACCGCGUACACUUAUCGGAGGGCAUCCUUUGGUAAGGAAAAGAAAUUCGCUGUGAGAUAGGCAUGCGUCCCAUUAGCUAGUUGGUGAGGUAACGGCUCACCAAGGCGACGAUGGGUAGGGGAACUGAGAGGUUGAACCCCCACACUGGUACUGAGACACGGACCAGACUCCUACGGGAGGCAGCAGUGAGGAAUAUUGGUCAAUGGGCGAGAGCCUGAACCAGCCAAGUCGCGUGAAGGAUGACUGUCUUAUGGAUUGUAAACUUCUUUUGUAGGGGAAUAAAGAACGGCACGUGUACCGUAGUGAAUGUACCCUACGAAUAAGCAUCGGCUAACUCCGUGCCAGCAGCCGCGGUAAUACGGAGGAUGCGAGCGUUAUCCGGAUUUAUUGGGUUUAAAGGGUGCGUAGGCGGCCUGUUAAGUCAGCGGUGAAAUCUAGGAGCUUAACUCCUAAAUUGCCAUUGAUACUGGCGGGCUUGAGUGUAGAUGAGGUAGGCGGAAUGCGUGGUGUAGCGGUGGAAUGCAUAGAUAUCACGCAGAACUCCGAUUGCGAAGGCAGCUUACUAAGGUACAACUGACGCUGAAGCACGAAAGCGUGGGUAUCAAACAGGAUUAGAUACCCUGGUAGUCCACGCAGUAAACGAUGAUAACUGGGCGUAUGCGAUAUACAGUAUGCUCCUAAGCGAAAGCGUUAAGUUAUCCACCUGGGGAGUACGCCGGCAACGGUGAAACUCAAAGGAAUUGACGGGGGCCC
rnacentral:rRNA from 1 species